AUUGAACGCUGGCGGCAGGCCUAACACAUGCAAGUCGAACGAGUGGCGGACGGGUGAGUAAUGUCUGGGAAACUGCCUGAUGGAGGGGGAUAACUACUGGAAACGGUAGCUAAUACCGCAUACCAUCGGAUGUGCCCAGAUGGGAUUAGCUAGUAGGUGGGGUAAAGGCUCACCUAGGCGACGAUCCCUAGCUGGUCUGAGAGGAUGACCGACCACACUGUAACUGAUACACGGUCCAGACUCCUACAGGAGGCAGAAUUGGGGAAUAUGGCGCAAUGGGCGCAAGGCUGAUGCAGCGAUGCGGCGUGUAUGAAGAAGGCCUUCGGGUUGUAAAGUACUUUCAGCGGGGAGGCGUUACCCGCAGAAGAAGCACCGGCUAAAUCCGGGCCAGACGCAGCGGUAAUUC
rnacentral:rRNA from 1 species